rnacentral:rRNA from 1 species
CUUGAACGCUGGCGGCAUGCCUUACACAUGCAAGUCGAACGGCAGCACGGGAGCAAUCCUGGUGGCGAGUGGCGAACGGGUGAGUAAAGUAUCGGAACGUGCCCAGUCGUGGGGGAUAACGUAGCGAAAGUUACGCUAAUACCGCAUACGAGCUAUGGAUGAAAGCGGGGGAUCGCAAGACCUCGCGCGAUUGGACCGGCCGAUAUCUGAUUAGGUAGUUGGUGGGGUAAAGGCUCACCAAGCCGACGAUCUGUAGCUGGUCUGAGAGGACGACCAGCCACACUGGAACUGAGACACGGCCCAGACUCCUACGGGAGGCAGCAGUGGGGAAUUUUGGACAAUGGGCGAAAGCCUGAUCCAGCCAUGCCGCGUGCAGGAUGAAGGCCUUCGGGUUGUAAACUGCUUUUGUACGGAACGAAAAGGUUUGGGCUAAUAAGCUGAGCUCAUGACGGUACCGUAAGAAUAAGCACCGGCUAACUACGUGCCAGCCGCCGCGGUAA